rnacentral:rRNA from 1 species
AGUAUACCCGCGUAGUCCCAGCCGUAAACUAUGCGCGUUAGGUGUAUCGGUGACCACGAGUCACCGAGGUGCCGAAGGGAAACCGUGAAACGUGCCGCCUGGGAAGUACGGUCGCAAGGCUGAAACUUAAAGGAAUUGGCGGGGAGCACCACAACGGGUGGAGCCUGCGGUUUAAUUGGACUCAACGCCGGGAAGCUCACCGGAUAAGACAGCGGAAUGAUUGCCGGGCUGAAGACUCUGCAUGACUAGCUG